UGCUAGGCGAAGGGGUUGAGUGCCGCACCCUAGAUGGCUAAAGUCCAGUAGCCGAAAGCAUCACUAGCUUAUGCUCUGACCCGAGUAGCAUGGGGCACGUGGAAUCCCGUGUGAAUCAGCAAGGACCACCUUGCAAGGCUAAAUACUCCUGGGUGACCGUUAGCGAAGUAGUACCGUGAGGGAAAGGUGAAAAGAAAAGAACCCCCCCCCAGCCCAGUGGAGUGGGUAGUGAGUGAAAUGAAAUAGAAC
rnacentral:ncRNA from 1 species